rnacentral:rRNA from 1 species
AUUGAACGCUGGCGGCAGGCCUAACACAUGCAAGUCGAGCGGAUGGAGGGAGCUUUCUCCUGGCUUCAGCGGCGGACGGGUGAGUAAUUCCUAGGAAUCUGCCUUGUAUUGGGGAAUAACGUCCGUUAACGGGCGCUAAUACCGCAUCCGUCCUGAUGGUGAAAGGGGGGGAUCUUCGGACCUCACGCUAUCUGAUGAGCCUAGGUCGGAUUAGCUAGUUGGUGGGGUAAAUGCCUACCAAGGCGACGAUCCGUAACUGGUCUGAGAGGAUGAUCAGUCACACUGGAAACGAGAACCGGUCCAAGCUCCUAAGGGAGGCAGCAGUGGGGAAUAUUGGACCAAGGGCGGAAAGCUGAACCAGGCAAGGCGGGGGUGGGAAGAAGGUCUUCGGAUUGGAAAGCACUUUAAGUUGGGAGGAAGGGAAGUAAGUUAAUACCUUGCUGGUUUGACGUUACCAAAAGAAUAAGCACCGGCUAACUUCGUG